CUUUUUUAAAAAACUGCUCUUCCUGAGUGAACCUAGAGGUUCCUUUAGGUCAAAAUAGGCUAACCAGUAGGUUUUGGGGCUGAGAAUGGUUUUUAAGUCUUACUAAUCUUCUCUGGAAUGAAACCAGAAAUUUGGGAACCGGAAAGAACGUCUGUGAAAACAGCAGCACGGGGUCCAGGCAACGGCCCCCACUUUCCUGAGUUCUGAACCCGGCUCUGUGGCUUCUCAGGUGAGGAAACGCAGGAAAGAGACCUGCCUGUGGUCCCACCAUCACGUCGCGACAGAGCCGCAGCUGGAAUUCAGGUGUGGUCCUCUUCCCGCUUCUCCACAACUUCCACUUUGGACUUUAAACUUAAUUCCCAGGAUCCUAGGGCCCUUUUUUGUUAUAGACCCCAAAGGCAACUGAAUACAAACACCUAUAAGGCCAGAAAAUACCUCCCUCAUUUUAAUUAUUAAAAACAUUAUGAAAUUGACUAAAUUGUGAUAG